UCAACUGGAUAUAAUUAACAUUUAUUGGUUAUUUUAUCUUGUAACAGCAGAAUACACAAUCUUCUCAAGCUUACAUGGAACAUUCACCAAGACAGACCAUAUUUUGAGCCAUAAAACACACCUGAACAAAUUUAAAAGAAUAUAAAUCACACAGUAUCUGCUCUCAGAUCGUGAUGGAAUUAAAUUAUAAAUCAAUAACAGAAAGAUACUUAGAAAAUCUCCCAAAACUUGGAGAGUAAACAACACAUUUUAAAGUAACAUAUGGGUCCAAGAAGGAAUCUCAAGAGGAAUGAAAUAGUAUUUUAUGAAAAUGAAAAUACAACUUACCAAAAUAUGUGGGAUGAAGGGCUUAAAGAGAAAUUUAUAGCACUGAAUGCACAGAGUAGAAAAGAAGAAUGAUCUAAAAUCAAUAACCUAAUCUUCCUCCUUGGGAAAUUAAAAAAUAAAGUAUAAAUUAAAUCCAAAAUAAGCAGAAGGAACAAAAUGAAAAUUAAUACAGAAAUCAAUGAAAUUCAAAACAGGAAAUCAAUAGAAAGUAUCAACAAUGCCAAAAUCAUAUGAUCACAUCAAUAGAUGAAGUAAAAAGCAUUUGACAAAAUUCAACAGCCAUUCAUGAUAAACAUUCUGAACAAACCUGGAAUAGAGGGGAAUUUUCUCAACUCGCUAAAGAACAUGUACAAAAAAACUACAGCUAACAUUUUACUUAAUGGUAAAAUUAAGCACUAAAUGGUAAAAUUUCCCAGUAAGGUCAGGAACAAGGCAAGGAUAUUCCCCUCUCAUCGCUGCUUUACAGCAUCAUACUGGAAAUCCUAGCUAAUUUAAUAAGAAAAGUUACUAGAAGGUAUAUAGAUUUGGGAAGAAGAGAGUAAACUGCCUUUGUUUACAGACAACAUGAUUGUGUAGAAAAUUCAAAAACAGUUGACAAAAGAAAUUGAACUAAUUAGCAAUUAUAGUAAGGUUACAGAAUUCAAGGUUAUAUGCAAAAGUCAAUUGCAAUUGCAUUCUUAUAUAUCUGCAAUGAACAACUAAAAUCUGAAAUUAAAAAUACCAUUUUUAUUAGUACCUCAAAAAAUGAAAUGCCUAGGUACAACACGGAAAGUAUACAAAAUUAAGAGAUAUGAAGGAUAACUAGAAGGCCUGACAUACAUUUCGCUGGAGCUCCAAAACUGGAUAAAAAGAAACAAAUUUGAAAAUAAAAUAUAUGAGAAUUUUCCAGAAUACUGAAAUCCACAUAUUUGUAAAAUUAGGAGCCUCAAUAGAUUCCCAAGCAUUCAACUAAAAAGAAAUCUACACUUGGAUCCCAACAAAGAAAAGUCUUAAAAUCAUCCGGGGGUGGGGGGAACAAAAAGAUGGCCAAAUGAAAUGAUUUGACAGCCAACUUCUCAACAGCAUCAGCGGAAGCUAGGAGAUAGGAACCUUCUUUAAGAACUCACUGUUCCUUAGUAUUUACUAAAAUUUAUUUACAGGCAACCCAGAAUUUUGUAUACAGUGAAACCAUCUUUCAAGAAUGUAUAAUAUAAACAUUCUAAGAAAAAAAACCCCUGAGACAGAACUCAAAACACUGGGCAACAAUAUUGUGCAUGUGUGUGUGUGUGUGUGUGUGUGUGUGACUGAAACUAAAGUAUUCUCAAGUCUUGUAUUGUUCUAGUUAAAGUUGUUUUACUUUAGACUUUAUUAAGCAUGAUGUUGUCACUUAUAAGUAGCAAUUGAAAGAAUAGAAACAGUAUGUAUAACGUUCCAAUAAGAUUAAAAAUGGAGUAAGAGAAAAAUCCUUAAUUCCAUGAAGACAGAUAGAAAAAGGCCCCAGAAAAAUCCAGAAAAUAGAAAGUAUAAAAUAAAAUAUUAAAAGCAGCAGCAAAUAUAAAAUCAUCACAGUAAGAGUUUAAAAAAUAAAUUUGCCAGUUAAAAGACAGUGGUGGCUGGACUAGAUAUAAAUCCAACAAAAUCCACUUACAUGCCAUCUACAGGUGGCAAACCUAGAACAUCAUGAUGUAAAAAGUUUGACAGUAAAUGAAUAGAUUUUUAAGUCUGAAAAAUAGAGUUUUCAUAAUUGAAAAGAGAUGGAACAGCUGUAUGAAUAUGAGAUAACAAGCAACAAAGCAUACACGGAGGUAUAUCAUUCAAUUCACUAGGAUAAUAUACAAAUAAACUUUGUCUAUAUUUACUGAGGUGUCAGAACAUGUUAAGGCAGAAAUUUACCAGAACAAAUAGAAGUUAUUAACAACUCCACCUUUCUCGAACGGUAUUUUAACACAUUCUUCUGAGUAAUCAGUAGGUCAAACAGACUAGAUAGUAGGCUAUGGAAGACCUGAGCCACAUGGUUAGCCAGUGAGUUGUUCUAAGCACAUGUACAGUACGCUGUACCUAAACACACAUGGGUCGUUUAUAAAAACUGAUAACGUAUCAAGCCGUAAAAAAACAAAAAUCUCUAACUUCAAAGGCUCAGUUAUCAUUGAGUCUGAUAAUUUCAGUAUCAUACCAGCCAUUGUUUUUAUGCUAAAUAAAAUACGUAAAACACAGGAGCUUAACUGUUCACUUCCCCUCUGAGACCUGCUGGAAGCAGGAGAUACUGUCUCCCGGCGUGGUAAAUCUUGUCUGUUGUAAGCUUGAUCACACCCUGUGUUUUGUUUUGUUCUAUUUUGCUUUACAGUUAUGCUACUACCUGGGUCUUUGUCCUGUUGGCAACAUUAUGCAUGGAAUUCUAUAGUUAUCAUAAGUUGUCAUAUAGCAUUACUGUCUUGAUCCCAUAGUUUUUUUCCCCCACUGGCUCCACCCCAAUGUUGGAACUUCUGUCAUGCCCAAAUUUGUGGCUCAGCUGUUCAAAAAAGGGGAACAAAUUUCAGGGCAUUUUCAAGGCUGACCCAAGCAGACUCAUGUAUAAGUAAUUGUUGGUGAAGACCUUUCUGCAAGACACCAGAGAUUCUGUUCCACUUGAGUGAAAAUCACACAGAGCUCCUGAGCUGGUGGUGCCUGGGCCUACUGAAGGUCUGCAAACUUCUGCCCCAAGAUGAGGCAAAACAGCCCUGAUUUCUAAGAUUCCUGACUUGACCUUAACACUGGAUUCUUUCUUGGAUACUCAUACAACAGAGAUCAAAGGGCCCACCACACAGGCAAACAAGCAAUGGAGAGACACAGUGCAUUCAACCCUUUGGUUCACUAAAACUAUUCACAUUUUGGCUACAAAAUCAGUUAAUUCUCUUUAGGAGCUUUCCUAAAAUACAUAUUAUCAUAUGUAAAAAUUCACAUUUUAAUAUUUGAAUUUUUAUAGUUUUUCCCCUGUAAAGGAAAGGUAUGGUGUGGAUGGGAGUCAGGAGACGGGCUGUGACCCAGCUCUAUGGGAUCUAGGGCAAGUGCAUUGUCAGGCCUGGUUUCUCUCUGUUAAAUUAGGAAUACCUUUGGGGUGACACUUUCUGGGUCUUCUGUGAAGCCCAUAACAAUCACAGUUCUCCCCUUCCCUUCUUGAGUGCCCUGGCUCCAACUCUGAGCCUUCUUGAUCCACAGCGAGGGGUACCACGUCCCUCUGUGUUAGGUUCCAGGUACACACCUGAUUUGGCCAAGGAAUGACCCUUUAUUCACUCAGGGCAAUGAGGUUCUCUUUUAGAGAAUUCUCCCAGUUGGGGCUAGCAGGUAGACCGCCAAUCCGUCCUAGCCUCUAGAUAUAUGCUGUAAAAAUUGGGAAGCUGGAGUGUAUGAGACUGUCUUUUAACAUAGGAACUGAAAGGUGGAGUGACAACACAGAGAAUAACACUAUUUGCAAAGAGUGACAAUGAGGCAAGCGUAGAGACAGGAGCAGAGAUAAGGAGAGGGGAAAACUAUGAAUUUCCAGGCCCUGCCCAAUAGCCCAGGUACAACUGUAGCCUCGGGUACUGGCAUUCUGCUCUGAACUGUGUAAUCCAUACUAUUUUUGGCUUAAGAUUGCUCCAAGGGUUUUGUCAUGUAAGGUCAGAAUCCUAAUUCAUGUAGUGGGUUGUUUCCAGGGUCCCUUCAUCUUCCCGAUUCUGUGGCUGUGGGAUGGGGAAUGCUUUUGCUUCCUGCUCUAGACAUGCCUGGGAAAUUGCCAUCAAAGGUUUUUAUACUCAGCAAAGGGUUAUUAUUAUUUUUAUUGUAGAGGCACUAAAUUCUAAAUUAUUCAUGAAUAGACAUUUAAUGUAAAGCAUUCACCUUCUAUCCUAUUUUAGGAACAAGAUUAGGAAAAAUGUAGAGCAUUUCGUCAGUUUUAAUUACUAAAUACUUUGGAUUUAAAAAUCGGAAUUUGCUUUUUUGUUUUAAAUGUUAAUUUAGGGCUUACUUCCCCACAAAAUAUUAGAACAUAAGAUUAAUCAUCUUCCUUAAGUAUAAAUUAGCAUAUUAGUUAUUAUUUAUUUUCUACCCACUUUAAGAUUUUGAAAUGUGGAGAAAAGGAAACCUUGCACGCUGUUGAUAGGAAGGUACAGUGGUGUAGCCACUAUGGAAAAUGGUAUAAAGGUUCCUCAAACAAAAACAGAAACACCAGGGAUCCCUGGGUGGCUCAGCGGUUUAGCGCCUGCCUUCAGUACAGGGUGUGAUCCUGCAGUCCUGGGAUCGAGUCCCACAUUGGGCUCUAGCCUAAAUAGAGCCUGCUUCUGUCUCUGCCUGUGUCUCUGCCUCUCUCUCUCUCUCUCUCUGUCUCUCAUGAAUAAAUGAAUAAAAUCUUAAAAACAAAACAAAACAAAAACAGAAACACCAUGUGAUCCAGUUUUCAAAUGGCUAUUUAUCCAAAGAAAACACUAAUUCUAAAAGAUAUGUGCACCCCUAUGUUUAUUGCAGCAUUAUUUACAAUAGCCAAGAUAUGGAAGUAACUUAAGUGGCCGUAGAUAGAUGAAUCGAUAAAGAUGAUGUGCUAUAUAUACCCAUUGGAAUAUUAUUCAGCCAUAAAAAAGAAUGAGAGCUUGCCAUUUGCAGCAACAUGGAUAGACCUAGAGGAUAUUAUACUAAGUGAAAAAAGUCAGAGAAAUACAAAUACCAUAUUUUCACUCAUAUGUGCAAUCUAAAAAAAAAAAACCCCACAAAUAAGCAAAUAAAAAGCAGGGACAGAGAACAAACUGA
rnacentral:lncRNA from 1 species